GACAGAGGGUGCAAACGUUGUUCGGAUUUACUGGGCGUAAAGGGCGCGUAGGCGGCCUCUGCAAGUCGACUGUGAAAUCUCCGGGCUUAACCCGGAAAGGUCAGCCGAUACUGCAGGGCUAGAGUGCAGAAGGGGCAACCGGAAUUCUCGGUGUAGCGGUGAAAUGCGUAGAUAUCGAGAGGAACACCUGCGGCGAAGGCGGGUUGCUGGGCUGACACUGACGCUGACAGCGCGAAAGCUAGGGGAGCGAACGGG
rnacentral:rRNA from 1 species